CUGUACGAACUCUCCCAGGCUUUUCUGAAUCUCUAUUUAUGAAGAUCAAAGCCCCAAUGUUGCUAGAUUCAUGCCGUUUCACGUGUUGCGGAAUAGCUUUCGCUUAUUGACCGGCUCUUCUGUGUCAAUUCGGCGGCUAAAUCU